rnacentral:lncRNA from 1 species
AAAUUAGAGUGCUGGAAAAUAUGGCAAAGGUCAACUUGUAAUUGUUGUUCCUAUAAGACAGAGAAGCUCAGAGCUGUGUCACAGCAUGAGCAGACAUCACAUAACUGGAGAUAGGGAAGAUACUGAUUCAGCUGUGCAUUGAAACUACAUUCAGCACCCAACGAUGAGACAGCUAUUUUUAAUGUGGUUGCUUUUGAGAAGCCUCUGGAGAAGUAAGAGCUGAAGAAGGCAAUCUUAUAAGGACUUUGUUUUGGAGAUUUUCCUCAAGAUAUAUGUUACCACUGCUGAGGAAAUCGUUGGGAUUAGUACUGUUGUAGCUGCAGACAAGGCAGAAGCCUUUUAUAAAUUACUUGUUGAAGAACUUUCAAGGUUUCUUAGAUUGUUUCUCAAACAUGCAUAUGUUCAGCUUAGGACCCAACAGUUAUUUACAUUAAGGUUUUAUGUUUAUGUGAUGAGGACAAGAAGGAGAACAGAGAAUCAUUUUACUUUCCAGAAAAUAGAUCUUCCUAAUCUGCACAAUCGAAAAAUUCAGUGCACUAGUAAUGAUAUCCAUGUGCAUAAAGUACCUGGUUUGCCUUGAAUAUUUAUAGUGAGACAAGAUGUUCUCAUCCAUUUUUAGAUAUUGGAAAAAAAGUAAAUCCCUCAAAGGAAAAAGAAAGAAUUCUGAGCUCAGGUUGUGUAAUUAUACAUAAUAACUUUGACGCCUAGAUAGAUAAGUUGAUUCACAUGAGAUCAGGACCUAUCCAAAAUUUUUUAUGUUAACUUGUCUAACAUAAACCCCAAAGAUUUUUUGGUAGCCUUUGCCAGUAAAUCAAACAGUUUGCAUGAAUAUUAAUGCUUACUAAAAUAAGGUAUUAAUAAUAAUAGCUAGAUCUAGAUACACUGUGCAAGGCACCUCUGAUACUUUUCAUUCACAAUUAUUCUAAUAUACAUCAGUCACUUUGAAGAAAGAAGUUACUUCUUCUUUGUCAAUAUUUUACAUAUUCUUGACAAAAGAAUGACUUGUUGUUGUUAUUGACAAUGCAUAUGCACGGCUUUCUGUCAUCUUCAGAUUGCAUGCUUUCCAGUCACUGCUCACUUAUUUCUCAUAACUUGCUUUCAAAGCAUGUAUGCAAGAGGGAAAUAUGUAUGCUUCAUAGUAAUAAAACUUAACUUUAGUCACCA